AGUGAACGCUGGCGGUAGGCCUAACACAUGCAAGUCGAACGGCAGCACAGUAAGAGCUUGCUCUUACGGGUGGCGAGUGGCGGACGGGUGAGGAAUACAUCGGAAUCUACUUUUUCGUGGGGGAUAACGUAGGGAAACUUACGCUAAUACCGCAUACGACCUACGGGUGAAAGCAGGGGAUCUUCGGACUUUGCGCGAUGGAAUGAGCCGAUGUCGGAUUAGCUAGUUGGCGGGGUAAAGGCCCACCAAGGCGACGAUCCGUAGCUGGUCUGAGAGGAUGUUCAGCCACACUGGAACUGAGACACGGUCCAGACUCCUACGGGAUGCAGCAGUGGGGAAUAUUAGACAAUGGGCGCAAGCCUAAUCCAGCCAUACCGCGUGGGUUAAGAAGGCCUUCGGGUUGUAAAGCCCUUUUGUUGGGAAAGAAAAGCAUCCGGUUAAUACCCCGCUGUUCUGACGGUACCCAAAGAAUAAGCACCGGCUAACUUCGUG
rnacentral:rRNA from 1 species